AUACGGAGGGUGCAAGCGUUACUCGGAAUCACUGGGCGUAAAGGACGCGUAGGCGGGUUGUCAAGUCAGAUGUGAAAUCCUACAGCUUAACUGUAGAACUGCAUUUGAAACUGGCAACCUAGAGUAUGGGAGGGGGAGAUGGAAUUAGUGGUGUAGGGGUAAAAUCCGUAGAUAUCACUAGGAAUACCGAAAGCGAAGGCGAUCUCCUGGAACAUAACUGACGCUAAGGCGUGAAAGCGAGGGGAGCAAACGGGAUUAGAAACCCUAGUAGUCC
rnacentral:rRNA from 1 species